UUCCUGUCUUGUUUGGGAGGUUUUUUCCUGGGCGGAGUACCGUCUACUAGUCUGUUAAUCUGUGAGCGAUGGAUAGUUUAAUCACGAGGGGCUUUGUUAAUCCGUGAGUAGUCAACCAGAUUAUUGAGAUAUUUGGUUAGAGAAUCUAAGUUAACCAUCACUGUCCUGUGAGACAUGUGCUUGAGGAAAUAUGUAGGUUUGGACUUGUAAUGAGUGGCGAUUUUAGUACAAGCGUGCUCUUGCACGGGUGAGUACUGUCCAAAACUAAUGGCCGAGAGCCCCUCAAGGCCAAAUUGGGCCUUCUGUAGGCCUUGUGGUGUGGGUGCAUGGUGGUGUUAAUUCCUAGAUUCAGCUAUAAAUCUAUCUAUGAGAACCUGAGAACACUUGCUUAUGAGAACCAACUGGACUUCAGAUAUAUCCAAGUGAAGAUGUACUGUUACUAUGGCAGUGAAUUUUAUCUAUGUGAGAUUAGAAUUUGAGUGCCAUCAUUCAUCUUAUGGUAUCUUGUUCUCUGUGAUAACUGUUGACUUGCAAGAUACAAUGUUGAUUUACUAUAUAUGCCCGCACAGCUUGUUGCAUGCCCGCAAGAUACAAUGUUAUGUUCUUCUUUUCAGCCUUGCCUGUGUACAAUUUCUUCUUGAUAUGCUUCAGUUUUAAACUGUACAGUACAUGGUAAAAUGGAAUUGGGAUGGUUAUGUUCUGGUUGUCAUGAGAAUAUGUUACUGCUGCUUUUGUUAUUUAUCGCCUUCCCUGUGUACAGUUUAUCCCUGGUAUGCUUCCCUGUUACUACUAUAUCAUCAUGGCAAAGCUAACAUCUCAUUGUGCUCUUUUUCAUUUCAGAAGUCAGCCUCCGGCCAUGGCGGAUCUGCAGACGCUGCUGGUGCAACCAAAGAGGAAGAAGGUUCUGGUGGACUACCGGCUACGGUUUGCUUCAGCUCAUGCGGAUAGGAGGCGGAUGCCCGCACGGAUCCGGCGUCUCCGACCUUGGCAUCCACAAGGAGGAGCGGCGACAAUUACAUACCCAACCAUGGGGCAGCAUCAAUUCAUGAUUUCCUCUCAUAGUAGCUCCAUGCAAAAUAAGGUUGAAAGGAGAAGGAGAAGGACUGAAGGAGGUCCAUGUUGAAGAAGGUCGACAGAAGCAGUAGAGCUUGUAAUACUGUCAUUGCCAUUGUAUUUGUGUUGUAUGAUAUAUCCGCGUUUACCCACAAAAAAUGUAUUCACGUUGUAAUACUGUGAUUGCCAUUCUGGCUACUGUUUCAAGCAGUGUAUUUUUCCA